UUUUUUUUUUUUUUUUUUUUUUUUUUGUAGUUGUUGUUCUGGCACUGGAAACACACAGUUAACAGCAUGUUGCAACUGAUACUGCAGUUCUACCACAGAGUGUUUAUUUUCUUUAGGAACAAUUGGGUUUUCAUUUUAAUUGUGUUCCUCCACUCCUUUUACAAACAUACUGUUUGUACAGGCUGUUUAGAGACCCAGAUAGCCCUCCAUCCACAGUUCUGUGCAAAAAUGGCUUGCCUUCUUGAAUUCAGAUGUGAUUAUGAGUGCAUAAAAGAGAAAAUAUUAAUGUGCAAAGUUGGGUGUAACUCAACAAACCACGUUACUGCCUCUUUGAAAAUGUACUCCAGUAUUUAAAAUAAUGUUGACACAUUAAAUUAGGAAAUGUUUAAAAGUAUUUACCAUUUCAAAUAUGUUUUUAUUCUCCCUCCUUAGCAUAUGCAAUUAUUGAUUUAAAACUUAAAUUAAAGAUGUUCACAUUGCCAUUUACUACAAAACAUUUUUGGGGCAGUGGUUUCCAAUAUCUGCUGUGUGGAGCUUGGCUAUGAAGAAGCAAUACUGACCUUAGUUACUCACCAUGCGGUGUUCAGUUAGAACGUUAAUAUUGUUUUCAAAUUGCUUUACUUGAAUUGCUUUUGAUCGUAAUGUUAACACUGACACUGUACAAAACCGAUGCAUCGACAGUCUAGUUAUAAAAGAUUCCUGUAUUUUUCCCCACUGCCAGUGGGUGAGCGUGCUCUUCAUCUUUCCACGCUUCUUUCUAAUCAUUAGUGUCUGCGUUGUAAUGGCUGAGUUAAUGGGAUUCAAUUUUAACAUCAUAUUCUUCAGCUGCUCCUUUUUUUUUUCACAGAAAGUAAAGAGGGACCAGGAGAGCUAUGAAAGCCUAAAUCAUGGAUCUAAAUCCUGCUGUUUUGCCAAGUGUACAAAAGACACUACUAAACUUAAGAAACUUCAGUUGUUACAAAGAUUUCCGUCAUGGGUAUAUUUUUCUAACUUCCCUGUAGUAAAUGCAAACAGCAUGCUUCAAAAUGGAAUCAUUUGUACAUGCUAACAGAAAGUUUUCCAUCCUACAGAAGAUUCGUAAUAUGAAUCUGUCAGUUAUUUUUGCGAAUUUCAUGUAUUGAUUUCAGUAUGGCAUUAAUUAGUUUGUGUGUACAGUUCCCUUGGAUUUUAAAAGUUGGAGUGAUUUUUAUUGUAUGUAGAGAUAGAAGAAUCAUAGGAAAAUGCUGAAAACAGUACUUUUUCUGCAGUUAGGACUCGCUACAAGUGACUGUGGGUAAGCAGUUAUCACUUACUUAGCUAUAUCUUGUUACCCUCUUGGGAUAAAAGGACAGGCAGAGCAGCAUUUUCAUGUCAUUAUCAAAUGUAUGUUAUAGCAAAAUGUUCACCAAUUAUAGUGUACGCUGAGAUACCUGUAAUUUUUCUUCAGUCCUCUUCAGUAGUUAUUUUGAUCUCAUAAUGACAUAACCAGAAACAGAAGGAUUUGUACUAUUGGAAUUCUCGUUCAUAGUAGUCAUUUGCUGCUGAACAGACACUGUGAUUUAAAAAUGCAUUUUUUUGUGGAAUCAUAUGCAAAACACCUGCAAACCAGACAGUAAAGUUCAGUCUUAAUGCAGGAAAACAUACAUAGGAGGAAAAAGAAUAAAAGAGAGGAAAGAAACACACAAAAGGGAAUUAUAUGGAUUCUGGUUCUGAUUCACUGCAGUAGCAUAACAGUGAAGUAACUCAAAAGACAUUAAGCCAGCAUAAUAUUGGAUGAGAUUCAUGGUGGUAAAUCAGGACUUCUUUUGGCAUGCUCAUGUGCAAAAGGGAAAUUUGCUCAUUGGAUUCUCCUCUCACUUUCACAGCAUAAAUCAACAGUAAUUCCACUGAAAUCAAUGGAGUUAAGCCAGGUUAAAAUGAAGGGGAGAUGAGAAUCAGAUUCGCGAAGCGCAGUUUGCUGUGAUUUAGCACACAAACGAAUGCCUUAUAAUCUGUUUACUAACAAUGGAUGAAAUAUGCAAAUUGCCUCUCUGGAAAGCGACCAUGAAAGCUGAGCUUCACAAAAGCGAAAUGAGGGGUGGGAAUGCUCUUAGUUCCAGACAUCCGCAUCCGUAGUCUGAUACACAAACGGCGUCUCAGAGAGAAGAAAACUGCCAAGGGUUGAUGACAUGUGCAGAAGUAAGGUAGAUUAUAACAAGAUGUGAGAUCACGAUUUGGAAUGGCCAACAGCCCUUGCAGAUGCUGGGAUAAUCCCGCAAUCAGGCCCCAAACAAUGUUCCUCCGAGCAAACCCAGGCAGGCUGACCAUGCCACCGCACAGCAUGUGCUGUGCCCUAAAUCAGCUGCAGAGCCUGCAAAUGCAGCUGAGUCCAGGUGGUACCAGUGCCUGAUGGUCACAAGCAGGAAGAAACGUGAAAAAAAAACAACCCCAACGCUUUAUCUUCAGUAAACCACUGAGGAUUUUGAUAGCUGCGAUUGAGAAUCCAGUGAAAGCUCCUCAAAUAACAGCACAGUGAAAUGCUUUCAUGUUCACUUACCCAUGGAGGAGACAGGAAGAGUUAAUUUUAAUUGGCCCUGAGUGAAUGCUCAUUUUGGAUUUCAGGAUGCAGUUAUGUACAGCCCAGUGAAACGGCACCUCGUAAUUAGACGGACUAUUUCUGUAUGCUGUCUUUCAGUUGAGAUUUCCUUUUUGAAUUUUAUUUUCAUUUUGAUCCUGGUCCAAUCUUAAUGUAGACAUAUAUAUGUUAACUUUAAGAAGACAUCUGCCAAUUGCUGUCUUGUGGAAUUCAAGAUCAGUUUUGCUGUGCAGGAAGCACGACACGUGGAGAGAUCUGUGUUAGCUGCAUCCCAAAGCAGCUCCUGAGAAGCACUCCAAGUACCACAGGGACAUGGAGUACAGGAGACCAAGGAAGAUCCUUUUCUCAGCAAGCUCACAUGCCAAUGACCUCACCUAUCUCAUCAGUUCCUGAAUUCUGUGAUGUUGCAAUAGGUUUGGGAAUGGGAGCUUCACCACUUGAGACAACAUGGGGUACAGACAGGAGUUGGCAGCAUGAAUAGUGGUUGGUGAUAGCUGUGAAUGCUCAACAGUCAUGCACUGACCCUCAAAUCUUUCAUAUCUGGCUCCAGCAGAGUAUGAGGGAAACCAAAAUUUGCUGCCACAGCAGGCUCUGGAGCCCUAUUGCCCAGAAGAGGGCAGACCUACAGUGUUUUACCUUGGUGGCAUUCUAACAUAUCUCCAACCUAUGUCCCUUUUGUCUCUCUACCUUGCUGUGUGGGGUGGAGAAGUUCUCAUUUUUUCCCCUCAUUAAAAUGAAAAUAAUCAUCUGAUUUUCAACUUAUGAUUAUUUUUAUCUUUCUUCUUCCCCUUCUUGCCUCAUUCUGCUUCCCAAGAAGAAAAUUACUCAAAAAAGAAAAUUUGAAUGGGGAUGAUUCGUGUAUGAGGGCUGCUUCAAAAGUAAUGCCUCCUGUUGUAUUGUGUUUUCCCGCAGCAUCAGAGGCAGAUGUUGAUGGUAUGGUAGUAGAAGCUCGACUUUCCACCAAUAUCACAUUGCAUUUUGUUGCUGUGUGAUAGAUGGCAGCAGCGGGGCAGUCUGAGAGAAUGACAUCUGACAUGGAAGUGUGGAUGAAAAAAUGGCACCCACUGGCAUUCAUUGGUGCUUGCUGAACAUUUGUAAAGACCAAACAGUGGAUGUGAGCACAGUGAGGUGGUGGAUGGUGUGUCUCAGCACUGGCAACAGUGAUGUGGAAGACAAGCCAUGUUCCAGACAGCCAUGC
ensembl:lncRNA